rnacentral:lncRNA from 1 species
GAGAUUAUUUCAGUUGACAUGAAUAACAAAAGACUAUUAAAAGAUUAACGGUAAGUGCAGAUUUAAUUUAAUAAAAAAAUAUAUUUUUCUGCUUUGUACAUGUUGUAUUAAUCUGAUGAGUAUAACCCUUUGCACCAGACAUUUUAUAGUGUAUUCACAUAUUGUAUUGUUAAACCACUGUAACAUGCUAGAGAAAGGUUGGACGCCUGCUAACUUGUUUGUUGCUGUAUGUCAUAUAUGUAUUUCGUAUGUUGUUUUCUACUUACAUAGUAUAUAUCAUUUGGCCUCUGGUGAAAAGUUGUUGCUCAGUCUUUAGUUUUCUAUGUUGUGUUUUAUUUACUAUUGUUUUUCUGGUUCUUUUUAUUUUUUUAAUGAUUUGACAUGGCGUUGUCAAUUUAUUUUCGACUUAUAAACCCAAACCACUUAGAAACCUAACGUCAUGGUAAAAAAAAAUGUAAUGUUUCGAAAGAAUUAACUCAAAAGUAAUUUAUAAUUAUUCGAAAUGGAUUUAAAAUUGUAUUGAUAAACUACUAAAUAUGUUUUUAAUAAUUACAGAAAUGAGCUGCGGAGUUCUUGUAUUGGUGACAAUUCUAACAGUUACAUUUUUUAUCCAGCUUAGUUUGAGCACAUGUGAUAGUCCUGUAUGUCACGGCUUAAUAAAUCCGAGUAAUGCAUAUAUAUUCAACACGGUACUAUGUGCUAGUGGGAUUGUAGCACUUGUUUCCUAUUUCAUUUUAUGGAAGAUAAACGAAAAUAAUGAAGAGGCCGUUCAGAUACGACAACACAAGGGUAAAACAGACAGC